rnacentral:lncRNA from 1 species
GGCAGAUGGGAUCCAACAGGGCCGGCAGAUAGCCGCUUAAUUCAGCCUCGGAGUCCUUUCCCACUCUGCUCCAGGGCCCCUGGAAACAGAAAAAUCAGAAAACUGUGAAAGGCAAGAACCAUCACACCUGAGUGGCCUUCAGGGAAAGCAGUUCUGCAGGGGGACCAGUGCAAUGGGAUUUGGCUGCGCAGCUUCCGUUGGCUGGUGAGAUUCACAGACAGGCUUUACUGAAUCUGAGGAACUGCAGAUCUUGCUGGCCUCGAUAGAGAUCUGGGGAGCUCAUCCUUGGUCGCCCUUGGGUGUCGGCCCCGCUCUCUGAUGGCCGCAGUCUGUGAAUUACUUAUGAGAACUGCUGGGCCCCCAACUGCCACCCCAAGGGGAGCUCCAAGGAUGCUGUCAUGUUGGCGUGUUCCAUGGGCUGCUGGUCUUCCGUAUUCCUAUCUAUUCUUUUACACUGGGUUUUAUAUUUGC